AUUGAACGCUGGCGGCAGGCCUAACACAUGCAAGUCGAGCGGAGCGGCGGACGCGUGAGGAAUGCCUAGGUAUCUGCCUGUUAGUGGUGGAUCACGUCCAGAAACGGGCGCCUUUACCACAUCCUAUCAGUUGAGGCUAGGUCGGAUUUGCUAGUUGGUGGGGUAAAGGCCUACCACGGCGACGAUCCGUAACUGGUCUGAGAGCAUGAUCAGUCACACUGGAACUGAGACACGGUCCAGACUCCUACGGGAGGCAGCAGUGGGGAAUAUUGGACAAUGGGCGAAAGCCUGAUCCAGCCAUGCCGCGUGUGUGAAGAAGGUCUUCGGAUUGUAAAGCACUUUCAGUUGGGAGGCGUUACCAACAGAGUAAGCACCGGCUAACUUCGUGCCAGCAGCCGCGGUAAUAC
rnacentral:rRNA from 1 species